rnacentral:lncRNA from 1 species
AAGUUGGAAGUGACAAUGGAGCAGACUAUUGGGCACCUGCCCUAGGAGGGGGCUUUCGUUAGGACAAGUUUACAAUUAGGGCAGCAUAUACAUAUAAAUAUAUGGUAGCAUGCAAAGAGGUAAAUUCAUGGAAAUGAUAUAACAUCAUGAGCAGUCAAUCUGCUUAAAAAUCUAAGGCUGAUUGCUCAUGAUGCUAUACUUCCUUCCUGAAUAAAAUGUGUGCUAGCUAGCUCUGACAGUAGUAUUUGCUAGCCCUUAAUUAGAAGACUUCAUAAUUCAUGGAAAAUCAAGCUUAGUUUUCUUUAUUUUCGUUAAUUAGCUUAAUUAAGAU